rnacentral:snRNA from 1 species
CAUAGAAUUGUUAAGAUAUGCUC